AUGGCAGCUCGGGCAGCACCGCAGCAGUCCGUUGAGACGGUUGAAGCUGACAUCGAGGACAAUGAUGCUCCCAGAGGAGUGAAGAGCUCUGGCGGCAGGCCACCAGAGAAGGAGUUGUGCGAGAGGUUGACACGCAACAGACUGGUGAUGUCGGCAAGGGACGACGAGAUGCGCCCUUCAAGUUCUCUAGAUGCCAGGGAGACAUCAGUGACGGCCCCGUCUCCAUUGCAAGUGAUGCCUUCCCACUCGCAGCAGUCUGUCUCAUGGCGCCACGACGCGGCGAGGGCGCCAUGUCCCGACAUCCCAGCGAGGAACUGGAGAAGUGCAUGCCUCUCCUGCUCGGCGCAUGAGGUGGCGAGCGAGACCAAAGGGAGCAGCUGCGCCAUGGCCAGAAGAACGGUGAAGGCACGCAUUUUCUGCACUUAUUGUUUUGCUGCUGCUUGA
rnacentral:rRNA from 1 species